AUUGAACGCUGGCGGCAGGCCUAACACAUGCAAGUCGAGCGGAUGACGGGAGCUUGCUCCUGGAUUCAGCGGCGGACGGGUGAGUAAUGCCUAGGAAUCUGCCUGGUAGUGGGGGACAACGUUUCGAAAGGAACGCUAAUACCGCAUACGUCCUACGGGAGAAAGCAGGGGACCUUCGGGCCUUGCGCUAUCAGAUGAGCCUAGGUCGGAUUAGCUAGUUGGUGAGGUAAUGGCUCACCAAGGCGACGAUCCGUAACUGGUCUGAGAGGAUGAUCAGUCACACUGGAACUGAGACACGGUCCAGACUCCUACGGGAGGCAGCAGUGGGGAAUAUUGGACAAUGGGCGAAAGCCUGAUCCAGCCAUGCCGCGUGUGUGAAGAAGGUCUUCGGAUUGUAAAGCACUUUAAGUUGGGAGGAAGGGCAGUAAGCGAAUACCUUGCUGUUUUGACGUUACCGACAGAAUAAGCACCGGCUAACUCUGUGCCAGCAGCCGCCGUAAUAC
rnacentral:rRNA from 1 species